CUUGGUUUUGCUAAACCAAAGAGUAUAUGAAAGAGAGUAAGAUAAGAUUAGAAAGAUAUGCUAGCACCAUGUUGUAAAAGGUCCUAAAUACCAAACAAAGGAGUUUAUAGUUGAUCCUAGCAUAUGAAGACCUCUUGGACCACUCUUACUCAUAGGAAUACCACUGCCCCUCACUCCCUCAUCUUCUAUAGUAUUUAUCCAUUAAUCUGAUAUUUUCUGCAUACUACCUUGAAUUAUUAGCUGGUUAGUUGGUUGCUGUACUUCAUACUCAAAGAGGACCAAAAUGACAUCACUAAUGGGAAUAUCUUAUGCCUGGCCCAUGAAUUGGAUUUAAGUGAUGCAGAGCUGCACAAAGUCAUCAGCUUCUCUCCUUCUUCCAGAGUCAUCCAAAUCCAGUGGCAAGACAAACCUGAGGAGAACUGGCAAUGGCUCAUGAUGUAGCAGAUGAUGUUGGCGUCUUCAAUAUCUGACCAAGGUCCAUUACCUCCUCUACCUGAGCAGCUGUUCAUUUUCAAACCUGAUGACAUCAUGGCCAGCCAGGGGCCAUCCAUCUCCUAAGGCUGACAAUGGAAGCAAAGACAAGAGGCCACAGGAGUCCCUGGUCUCCCUUGUCAUCCUGGCUCAGAUCCCACAUGAGACCAACUGGAAUGAUCUCUCUAGUUCCUGGAUCUCAUAUAUACCUGUUUGAGCCCAUUCCAGUGCAUAAAGCUGCUAUGGCACCAAGGAAACCUGAGAAACCAACAGAAGCACCAGCAGCAGCAGGAGCUAAAGUUUAGCAGCUGUGACUCACCACUUAUACUGCUGGGGAGAAGGGGGAAUGUUCCCUCUCCCUAGAGGGAAAAAGAUUCUUCAAAAUGAAAAUCUGCACUGAUUAACCUCUUUUGUGACAUGCUUCUUCUCUGCCAAGUAUGGAAAGAUGAUGGGCCCCUGCAGCCCCUCCCAAGGAGUAGCCUCUGUGCCUGAGAGUGUCAUGA
rnacentral:lncRNA from 1 species